rnacentral:rRNA from 1 species
CCUUCUGUAUUGCCUAGUACGGCGAGUGAGCGGGAUGAGCUCAAAUUUAAAAUCUGGCGGUCUCAGAUCGUCCGAGUUGUAGUCUAGAGAAGCGUUUUCCGUGCUGGCCUGUGUACAAGUCCGUUGGAACACGGCGUCAUAGAGGGUGAGAAUCCCGUCCUUGACACAGAUCUCCAGUGCUUUGUGAUGCGCUCUCAAAGAGUCGAGUUGUUUGGGAAUGCAGCUCAAAAUGGGUGGUAAAUUCCAUCUAAAGCUAAAUAUUGGCGAGAAACCGAUAGCGAACAAGUACCGUGAGGGAAAGAUGAAAAGCACUUUGGAAAGAGAGUUAAACAGUACGUGAAAUUGUUGAAAGGGAAACGAUUGAAGUCAGUCAUGCUUUCCGAGACUCAGCCGGUUCUGCCGGUGUACUUCUCGGUUUGCAGGCCAGCAUCAGUUUUGGGCGGUGGAAAAGGUUGGCGGGAAUGUGGCAUCCUCGGAUGUGUUAUAGCCCGCUUUCGAAUACAUCGCCCGGGACUGAGGAACGCAGCACGCCUCUUGUAGGUCGGUCUUCGGACACGUCCGUGCUUAGGAUGCUGGCAUAAUGGCUUUAAACGACCCGUCUUGAACACCACGGACAAC